GCGGUAGUACCCCACCCCUAUUUUCCUCCUUUGAGCGCGUUCCUCCUUCCAUCUCAAGCCCUAAUUUUUCCUGGCGCUGGCACCGCCGCCACCGUCAGUGUAGCUCUACACGGUCACUGUCAUUGCACACCAACGCAUCCUCCUCCUUUUCAUUAGUACAAACCCUAAACCUCAUCUCAUUGCUUACCACUCAUGAUAUCUCUCUCACACGCGAUCUAAAUCCUUGAUGUCGCUACUUGAUCGUCGACUCGCCUCCCUUCGUUCUUCGGUAUCGUCGCCGGUUGUUUUUGUUGCUGCUGGUUGUCACUGCUAUCGUCGCCCAGAAACCAUGGGAUUGUGCUUGCAGUUGUCACGAGCGCAUAAAACAAAAGGGCAGCCUUUUCUUAUUCUUUCCAGCAAAUCAAAUUCAGAUGUUCUCUUCGCGCUAUUCGGUGUGCUAUGCUAAUUCUCGAGGGGCAAGUUAGGAUGGAUGGAAUUGAUACAGGCUUGGAGAAAAUUUUAUUUCAUCUUCGAAUCAUGGAUACCCUUACUCGAUGGUCGAAUGUUCGUCUGAUAACGUAUCAUUGCCAGAAAAUACUUCAAUGUAUUGAAAUGUCAAAACUGAUAUAUAUUUUUUCUAAUUUUGUAAUUAUAAGUAUUCAGUUCUUCGAAUUCCUAUCACGCCGUAAUUGAGAAUACUGCGGGGCUGUUUGUUUAAAGGGUUUGAUAAA